rnacentral:lncRNA from 1 species
AAAAUGUGAAGUGUCUUGCAGUCUCCAGCAGCAGCAUCUGGCACUACUGGAAGGAGGGCAGGGGAGGGCUGCUUCUACGGGAGGCUCUGCAGGACUCUACCUGGCACAUUUCUUACCAGAACCCAUUCAUCCACAAGUCCCUCCUCAUUACCGCUGCAGCCAAGGCCUACUGAGGAUCCCUGCUGCAGUGCAUGGCAAUGGUUGACUACGUGGACCAAAAGGGAACAAUGGGCAUUGGGAGGACCCCCAGCAUGGCUAUAGGAGUGGAAGAAGGAUGUUGUGCUGUCCUCAUGCCUGGCAGCACACCCAAAACGGAGAGGUGCCUGGGCAAAACCUGGCUUUGCCUGCUAACCUGCCUGCUCUACCCAGAGGCUUCUGGCUGCCUUUUGUACAGGGAAGUGGGAAGGCUGCCCUGGGCAGAAUUUGUGACAGCUAAGGAGACCCAGGAAAUCCUGCUUUCUCUGCUGAGAUAGCUCAAAACAGGAAAAGCGUUCUUCCAAGGACACAGGGGUGAGAAAUAAGCAAAUCAAAGCAAGAAAACCAAAAGAAACGUACAAAAAUAGCCCUACACACAUCCAAUACAUCAUUUUUUUCUUGUUCUUCAUUGGACCCUAUGAAGGACGGGUAUUUUGCAAGUCUGACCUGUCUCUGAGGCCCUUUACAAGUUGUUCUUCACUGACACCAUUUAAAUGAAAUGUUUG